AACGUAGGAGACAAACGUUAUCCGGAGUUACUGGGCGUAAAGGGCGUGUAGGCGGUUUGUUAAGUCUGGCGUGAAAGCUCUCGGCUAAACCGGGAGAGGUCGUUGGAUACUGGCGAACUAGAGGAUGGUAGAGGCGUGUGGAAUUCCGGGUGUAGUGGUGAAAUGCGUAGAGAUCGGAGGAACACCAGUGGCGAAGGCGACUACCUGGCCUGUUCUUGACGCUGAGGCGCGAAAGCUAGGGGAGCAAACGGG
rnacentral:rRNA from 1 species